GACGAACGCUGGCGGCGCGCCUAACACAUGCAAGUCGAACGAGCGAGAGAGAGCUUGCUUUCUUGAGCGAGUGGCGAACGGGUGAGUAACGCGUGAGGAACCUGCCUCAAAGAGGGGGACAACAGUUGGAAACGACUGCUAAUACCGCAUAAGCCCACGGUGCCGCAUGGCACAGAGGGAAAAGGAGCAAUCCGCUUUGAGAUGGCCGCGCGUCCGAUUAGCUAGUUGGUGAGGUAACGGCCCACCAAGGCGACGAUCGGUAGCCGGACUGAGAGGUUGAACGGCCACAUUGGGACUGAGACACGGCCCAGACUCCUACGGGAGGCAGCAGUGGGGAAUAUUGCACAAUGGGGGAAACCCUGAUGCAGCGACGCCGCGUGGAGGAAGAAGGUCUUCGGAUUGUAAACUCCUGUUGUUGGGGAAGAUAAUGACGGUACCCAACAAGGAAGUGACGGCUAACUACGUG
rnacentral:rRNA from 1 species